UACGGAAGGGGCAAGCGUUGCUCGGAAUCACUGGGCGUAAAGGGUGCGUAGGCGGGUCUUUAAGUCAGGGGUGAAAUCCUGGAGCUCAACUCCAGAACUGCCUUUGAUACUGAGGAUCUUGAGUUCGGGAGAGGUGAGUGGAACUGCGAGUGUAGAGGUGAAAUUCGUAGAUAUUCGCAAGAACACCAGUGGCGAAGGCGGCUCACUGGCCCGAUACUGACGCUGAGGCACGAAAGCGUGGGGAGCAAACAGG
rnacentral:rRNA from 1 species